rnacentral:rRNA from 1 species
GCUUGCAGCUAUACCACUUUGGACUGAUCUUGACACCAAUAUGUCCAAGCACAUAAGCAGGUACAGGCCUGGUCAGUACUUGGAUAGGAGACCUCCAAGGAAAAUUCAAGUGCUACAGGAA